rnacentral:rRNA from 1 species
CCUACGGGUGGCAGCAGUAGGGAAUCUUCCGCAAUGGGCGAAAGCCUGACGCAGCAACGCCGCGUGAGUGAUGAAGGUCUUCGGAUCGUAACACUCUGUUAUUAGGGAAGAACAUAUGUGUAAGUAACUGUGCACAUCUUGACGGUACCUAAUCAGAAAGCCACGGCUAACUACGUGCAAGCAGCCGCGGUAAUACGUAGGUGGCAUGCGUUAUCCGGAAUUAUUGGGCGUAAAGAGCGCGUAGGCGGUUUUUUAAGUCAGAUGUGAAAGCCGACGGCCCAACCGUGGAGGGUCAUUUGAAACUGGAAAACUUGAGUGCAGAAGAGGAAAGUGGAAUUCCAGGUGUAGCGGUGAAAUGCGUAGAGAUAAGGAAGAACACCAGUGGCGAAGGCGACUUUCUGGGCUGUAACUGACGCUGAUGCACGAAAGCGUGGGGAUCAAACAGGAUUAGAUACCCGGGUAGUC